AGCUAUGUUAUGCAUGUAUGGAAUUUUGUCUCUAAACCACAAAUCCUAGUCCAUUCUGAAGGGUACUGUAUUUUUCGGUUCUUGAACAAAAGGGAUAUGGAUCUGGUUCUACAAUCUGGACCAUAUACCUACAGAAACAAGCUCAUGGUGUUGAAGCCUUGGGAAGUGGAUUUUUCUUUUCAGAGUGACUUCGGUUCUUAAACAAAAGGGAUAUGGAUCGGGUUCUACUAUUUGGACCAUAUACCUACAGAAACAAGCCCAUGGUGUUGAAGCCUUGGGAAGUGGAUUUUUCUUUUCAGAGUGACAUUUUGAGCACCAUUCCUGUAUGGGUUCGUUUCCCUGGUUUGCCAGUAGGCUACUGGUCAGCAGAGGUGUUAAGUAAGCUUGCAAGUGCUGUUGGGAAA
rnacentral:lncRNA from 1 species